rnacentral:rRNA from 1 species
GACGAACGCUGGCGGCGUGCCUAAUACAUGCAAGUAGAACGCUGAAGAGAGGAGCUUGCUCUUCUUGGAUGAGUUGCGAACGGGUGAGUAACGCGUAGGUAACCUGCCUGGUAGCGGGGAUAACUAAUGGAAACGAUAGCUAAUACCGCAUAAAAUUGAUUAUUGCAUGAUAAUUAAUUGAAAGAUGCAACUGCAUCACUACCAGAUGGACCUGCGUUGUAUUAGCUAGUUGGUGAGGUAACGGCUCACCAAGGCGACGAUACAUAGCCGACCUAAGAGGGUGAUCGGCCACACUGGGACUGAGACACGGCCCAGACUCCUACGGGAGGCAGCAGUAGGGAAUCUUCGGCAAUGGGGGGAACCCUGACCGAGCAACGCCGCGUGAGUGAAGAAGGUUUUCGGAUCGUAAAGCUCUGUUGUAAGAGAAGAACGGGUGUGAGAGUGGAAAGUUCACACUGUGACGGUAUCUUACCAGAAAGGGACGGCUAACUACGU